GCCACACACGGCACCGAGCAGCCCCCAGAAAGUUCCCGGCUCCGUCGGUCCCAACCCUCGCUGCCGACCUGCCACUGCCAGCCGCCCACCCGAACCAAACCAAACCAAGUCCGGAUCCAGCCCGAUCCACUCGAUUUUGAUUUGAUUUCCGCCGCCCACCCGUCCCCGCAAAACCACCGCCAGCGCGGCGAAGAAGCCUUGUCCGGUAAGGAAUCGGUUGGCGGGCGCCAGGCCGGCCACCGCCUCUGCUCCCGGCUAUAAAAGGCACCCAGGUGCGCCCUCUCCACCCCGCGCGCUGGCCUCCUCCCUCUCUGUUGGAGCUCUCGUUCGGGCCGGCCGCGCCGCCGGUGUCGAUCGCCUGAGUCGCCUCCUCGCGUCUCCGCGGCUGUUCCCUUCCCCUUAUCCAUCAAAUCUCGAUUCGUUUCGAAUCGCGUUUGAUUUAUCUCCUCGCCGGCUUUGUUUCCUGUGCGCUCGCAGGGGAUCCGGCCCGCCUCCGCGCGACCUCGGGGAGCGAUCCAUCGAUCGAUCGGGGGAUUCCGUCGAUUUUGCUCUGAUUUCUGUGUGAUGAGAGGGCCGAAGCAAGGUCAGUUUCCCGUGCUCGAUCGGUCAGAUCGGUUCCUUGGUUCCGUCACCUGCCUGCCUUCCUCGGCGAUUUCAGAUUUGGAUCCAAUUGGACGGCUCUCGCCCGUGCGGCCUGCCCCCGAUCCAGCCCUCUCGUCACGGGUUCCGUCGUCAUCGGUUAAUAAUACGAGGUGGAUUCGACGCCCUCGUGGAUUCUAAAUUUUACCGGCUGAUCCCGCUUUUGGUAUGUGUUUGUGCUCUCAUCCUAGAUGCAGCAGAAAGCAGAGGCAAGGGACGCUCGGUAGUUCGCAAGAGAUGAUAGAUAAAAAGGGUGGAGGUUUGGUUUCUGUUAUGGUUAUUUUGAUUCAUUGGUCACGGUUCAGCGGUUACUCUGAUUGAUAUGGACAGAUGAUCAAGCUUUGGAUCUCACCAGUCUGCAAUUGGAUGAUAAUAAUAAUUCAACCCCUCCCGAUUUAUUUCUUUGGUUUGCACAGCACAGUUAAUCUACAACUCAUCUGAUUUAGAUUCGUUCCUUGAUGGUUCUCCAGAAAAUGGGAUGACACGGCUUAGCGGGACCACCUAUCUUCGGCUGAUUUGUGUUUGGAUGAACAUUACUACUAUCUCUAUUUAAUCCCUUCCUCUCCACCGUUUAAUUUUAGCCUCCAACAAUUCUGAUUUCGAUUUGGUCUUCAUUGUCCAGAAAUUGGGAUUACUCGGCUGAGUGCGAGCUGACUUAUUAUCUUCUUGUGUUUGGAUGAUCAACUCUCUCUCUCUCUCUCUCUCUCUCUCUCUUCAAUUUGUUCGCCUCCACAGUUCAAUUAUUCUCUCAACAAUUCUGAUUUGGAAUGGUUGCUGGUUGUCCAGAAACUGGAAUUACACGGGCCUAGCGGGUGCUCCUAUGUUGCCUCAGCAUGACGCUGCUUCUUUCCUGGCUUGAACUUUCUGGACCUUUCUUACUCAAUAUUAAUUAGAACUCAGCAGACAUUAGUUUUCCCUGUCUUGGUCAUUCUCAGCUCUUGCAGAUAGUGUCUUGCAAAGGAUAUUUAAUUGGAACCGGUGUUGUCUACCUGACCUUCCCAGUCGAGACAGGCUUACUUAUUCUCUGCCUCCUCGUCGUUUUAUCCUAGUUUUCCCUAACUGAAGCAUUUAUGGAAACGUAUCUUGCUUGUUGCAGGUCGUAGUUUACAAACUCAAGGCCACCAACCUGAUGCUGACUUUGCAGUUCUUCUAAAACCACUAUCUACUCAAUUCCUUAACUGAGAUAAUGUUAAUAAGAUCUCUUACUAGGCAGUAUUUUAAAUUCAGAUUUAGCUGCGAAAGGUGCAAGAAUGAAGCUUCAAACUAGUGGCAUAUCCUACAACCGGAAAAAUAAUCAUCUUCUACCCUCCUAUUUUUAUUUCAUUCAGCUACAUUUUCUUGUCUUUGAUUUAUGCUUAUGCCCUCCAUGUCGUUGCAGAUCUGUUUUGCCUAAGACAAUGCUUGUAGCGAGUCAAAAAUCUUCUGGUUUGCUAUCUAUCUCUUUGUUGUUUGAUUGGUUAUAUCUGUACUCUUGAUCCCUGUGUUGGUCUUCCUAUACGUGUGUGGGUUGCACUGCAGGAUAUAUUUAGGAAGUCUGCCUACAUAUGCAAACCUUUGCUGUGUGCGUGUCGCGGUGUCAGGUCAGUGACUGUUGGUUCAUUUGUGUUCCCAUGCUGGAUGGGAUCUGAUGUGGAGAUCACUAUGAUGGUGUUUGUUGAAAGGGAUUUUAGGUAGGUCAGAUUACAUGCCUAUUGCCCGUGUGGUCUUCUAGUUCUCAUCACGAGUUCCAUCAUAAUCAAUAUGAGGUGGAUUAGAGGUAUUGGUGGAUUCUUAUUGUAGCAGUUGAUCUCGCUUUUGGUCUGUGUUUGUGCUCCUUCAGAUGCAGCAGAAGCAGGAAGUGGUUCCGCAUAGAUGAACCGAAAGGAUGGAGGCUUGGUUUCUGAUAUGGUCAGAGGUCUCCAGGGAUGAUGUUUGGUGUUGGACUGAAGUUUUGGAUCGCACAUCAACCUGGAACUUGAGAUCCGUGUUCAGAUGAUCCCUCUGAAUUUCACUUCAUUUGAUUUGGAUUCGUUCAGUUUUAGCCUCCAACUUCAAUUUGGAUUCAUUGCUCAUUGUCACGAAUUGGGAUUACCCGCUUAGUGGGAGCGGCGUACUAUCUUCUUGCUGACCGACCUGUGUUUGGAUGAUCAAAAUUCUGUUCAAUUUGUUCUUCUCCACGGUUCAAUUAUUCUCCCAACAAUUCUGAUUUGGAAUGUUUGCUGGUUAUCCAGAAUCUGGAAUUACAUGGGCCUAGCGGGUGCUCUUAUUUUGGCUCAGCAUGGCGGUUCUUUUUCUGUGGCUAAACUUUUUGGACCUUCCUUAUUCAAUACAGUAUUAAUUAGAACUCAGCAGACAUUAGUUUUCCCUGCCUUAGUCAUUUUCGCUCUUGCAGAUAGUGUCUUGCAAGGGAUAUAGUUGGAAGCCAUGUGUCUACCUGACCUUCACAGUGGAGACAGACUUACUCAGCCUUUACCUCCUCAUUCGUUUGUACCUACUUUCCUAAUCCUAGUUUUCUCAUGACUGAAACAUUUAUAGAAACGUAUCUUACUCGUUGCAGGUCGUAGUUUACGAACUCAAGUCCACCAACCUGAUAUUGAGUUUGCAGUUCUUCUAAAUCUACUAUCUUCUCAAUUCCUCGACUUAGAUAAUAAUAAUAAGAUAUCUUACUAGGUAAUAUCUUAAAUUCAGAUUUAACUGUAAAGGUGCAAUAAUGAAGCUUCAAAACUAGUGUCACAUCCUACAACCGGAAAAAACUUAAUCUCUUAUCCUCUUAUUUUUAUUUCAUUGAGCUACAUGUCUUCUCCGCCUUAGUCGGUAAUUCUCAGCUCUUGUAGAUACUGACUUUAAAAUGAUAUAACAGCAGUUUGGAACCGGUGUUGUUGUCCUCCGUCAACCAUAUCUGAACUUCCUAGCUGAGACAGGCUUACUUGUUCCCCAUCCAUCUUUGAUCCAUGCUUUAGCUAUUUAUAUAUAAAAGUAGCAUUUUCCCCUAACUGAAAAUUUAUAGAAAGGCCUCUUGCUCGUUGCAGGUUGUAGUUGAUGAACUCAAGUCCAACCUGAUGAUGAAUUUGCUUGCAGAUCUUCUAAAUCUAUGAGUAUUGUCUCAAUUCAUCAUAACUUUCAUGACCUACAUAUUAUCUUACUAGGUAAUAUUUUAUAAUACAGAUCCAUAUGCAACGGUGCACGAAUCUAAUGACAAUCCUGGCACAUCCUACAACCGAAAUAGACUCUUGAACUUUCUGGACCUUUCUUAUUUCAAUAUUAAUUAGACUCAGCAGACAUUAGUUUUCCCUGUCUUAGUUAUUCUCAGCUCUUGCAGAUAGUGUCUUGCAAAGGAUAUAUAAGUGGAACCUGUGUUGUCUACCUGACCUUCCCAGUCGAGACAGGCUUAUUUAUCCUCUACCUCCUCAUUGUUUCAUCCAGUUUUCCCCUAGCUGAAACAUUUAUAGAAAGGUUAUCUUGCUCGUUGCAGGUUGUAGUUUACGAACUCAAGGCCACAAACCUGAUGCUGAGUUUGCAGUUCUUCUAAAACCACUAUCUACUCAAUUCCUUAACUGAGAUAAUGUUAAUAAGAUCUCUUACCAGGCAAUAUUUUAAAUUCAGAUUUAGCUGCAGAAGGUGCAAGAAUGAAGCUUCAAACUAGUGGCAUAUCCUACAACAUGAGUACCAUUAUCCCUCGGUACAAGGUGCAUUCUCGUUGGUUCUCGUUGUUACAGCUGAUCUCUGCUUGUGGGGUAUGUGUUUGUUCUCCUUCAGAUGCCGGAGUGUGAUGGUUGCUGAGUGAUGAAUCAGAGGGUGGAGGUUUGUUUUACUGUUCAUGGUUAUUUGGAUUGGUUAUGGCUCAAUGCCUUGCAUGAUAUAAGAUAGCAUCUUGUGUGCUGAAGUUUUUGUUUUGGAUUGAAGUCGGAUUGGAUCAUUAACCAUGGAAUGGAGAUCAGAGAAUUUGCGAACUGAGUUUGGAUAAUUGAUCCUCAAUUUAGUUUCUUUGUUUGCACAGUCGAAUUUAGCUUACAACAUCUCUCAUAUGGAACUGUUGGUUCUCCAGCUAUUGGACUUAUGGGGCUUUCUGGAAGGUGCCUUGCUUUGACUGUUGGUUUACAUGGGGUUUCUUCUCUUGACUUCAUCUUUCCUGAUUUGCUUUGAACAUUGCACUUCCUAGACAUUGUUUUCUCUGGCCUUGGUAACUACAUGUCCUUCCAGAUAUUUACAUCGAUGAGAGAUAAUAUAGUUUGCUAUCUGGAACUGGUGUUUCCCUAACUGAUAGCAGAUAUUUACAUGGAUGAGAGAUAAUAUAGUUUGCUAUCUGGAACUGGUGUUUCCCUAACUGAUAUCUCCCAGCCAAGUAGGCUUAUCCUAUCCCCUCACUGUUUGAUGCAUCAUUUAGCUGUUCAUAGGCAGCUUCGUUUCCCCAAAGCAGAAGUUCAAACGGAGGUUUCUUGGUCAUUGCAGGUCCUAACUGACGAUUUAGGUCCAACCUGAUGAUGAAUUGGAUUGGUGGAUGUAGAAGGUUCGAAGGUUGCUACAGGGCAUCAAUCUAGACGGGCCAUCCUACAACCGAAAAAACCCAGUGCUCUCUAUUUGAUCUCUUGAAGAAGCUUCUGUUGUCUUAGAUGCUUUGUGCUUGUAGCAUUGAUUGUGUUUUUUUGCUUCCGCCUUCUUGUGGUUGCAGAUUGUUUAGCCCAAGCUAUGCUGGUAGCCAUCAAAAUAUGUCGUAUUUUUGGUUUCUGAUCCUCUCCUGACUUCUAUAGUUGGGUAAUGUUGAUGGCUUGAUACGCAGAAAGAGGUUAGGGAUUAUUGCUAUAUAUACAAAAAAUAUGGAGAGUUGAAGCUUCUCGACUCGAAGCUUGAACAAACAGUUUGCCAUGGACACUACUACUCGUCAUGUCUUUGAUUAGUGUCAUUUCCACUGAAUAUGACUCCGAUGAUCCCGACUUAUUGGUA